AUUCAUGACUUCCUAUUAAGGCUUUUGCAAUCGACUGCUCAAGAAAAAUGGAUGGAGUGUAGCAAUGCUAAAUCUUCUUGUAAAGAUUUCGGGUGUUUUCAUAAAAAGCACAUAGAAAUGACUUGUUGCUUUAAUUAAUAAUUCGAUCUAUAAAAAAAGAACGAUCUUCAUUACUUUCUAAUAAAGAAUAUGCAAUUAAUUACACAAGAAGAAUGCUGGAGUCUAAUAAUGCUAAACCAUCUAGUAAAAAUAUUGGAUUUUGUCAUAAUAAGAGCAUAGAAGUCUAUCAUUAUUUUAAAAAUGAACUAAAUUCAUGACUUCCUAUUAAGGCUUUUGCAAUCGACUGCUCAAGAUGAAAGGAUGGAGUGUAGCAAUGCUAAAUCUUCUUGUUAAGAUUUCGGGUGUUUUCAUAAAAAGCACAUAGAAAUGACUUGUUGCUUUAAUUAAUAA